ensembl:misc_RNA 7SK 7SK RNA
AAAUUGUAGAAAGACUGGCUGUGACAUCUGUCACCCUACUGAUCGCCAGGGUUGAUUGGCUGAUCUGGCUGGCUGGGUGUCCCCUUCCUCCCUCACUGCUCCUUGUGCAUCCCUUCCAGACUGAAGUUUACCCUGGGGACACUGAGCACUGGGGAUGAGCUGUCCUAUUAAUCCCUGACUUAUAGCAUUAUAUUUGCAGGUCAGAACAUAGGGAGGAACUGAAGGGCUGAUUGAUAAGAGGAAAAACAAGACGAAGUUGUUUUGUUGAAAUAC